UACAGAGGGGGCAAGCGUUGUUCGGAAUUAUUGGGCGUAAAGGGCUCGUAGGCGGUUUGUCGCGUCGGGAGUGAAAACUCAGGGCUUAACCCUGAGCCUGCUUCCGAUACGGGCAGACUAGAGGUAUGCAGGGGAGAACGGAAUUCCUGGUGUAGCGGUGAAAUGCGCAGAUAUCAGGAGGAACACCGGUGGCGAAGGCGGUUCUCUGGGCAUGACCUGACGCUGAGGCACGAAAGCGUGGGGAGCAAACAGG
rnacentral:rRNA from 1 species